UACAGGGGGUGCGAGCGUUAAUCGGAAUUACUGGGCGUAAAGCGUGCGUAGACGGCUAUCUAAGUCGGGUGUGAAAGCCCCGGGCUCAACCUGGGAAUUGCAUUCGAGACUGAAUAGCUAGGGUACGGUAGAGGGAAGUGGAAUUUCCGGUGUAGCGGUGAAAUGCGUAGAUAUCGGAAGGAACAUCAGUGGCGAAAGCGACUUCCUGGACCAGUACCGACGUCAGGCACGAAAGCGUGGGGAGCAAACAGG
rnacentral:rRNA from 1 species